GUGGGGAAUCUUGCGCAAUGGGCGAAAGCCUGACGCAGCCAUGCCGCGUGAAUGAUGAAGGUCUUAGGAUUGUAAAAUUCUUUCACCGGGGACGAUAAUGACGGUACCCGGAGAAGAAGCUCCGGCUAACUUCGUGCCAGCAGCCGCGGUAAUACGAAGGGGGCUAGCGUUGCUCGGAAUUACUGGGCGUAAAGGGCGCGUAGGCGGACAGCUUAGUCAGAGGUGAAAGCCCAGGGCUCAACCUUGGAAUUGCCUUUGAUACUGGCUGUCUUGAGUUUGGGAGAGGUGAGUGGAACUCCGAGUGUAGAGGUGAAAUUCGUAGAUAUUCGGAAGAACACCAGUGGCGAAGGCGACUCACUGGCCCAAUACUGACGCUGAGGUGCGAAAGCGUGGGGAGCAAACAGGAUUAGAUACCCCGGUAGUCC
rnacentral:rRNA from 1 species